CAAACAGUGAACAUUUCUCUGUGUUCACAAGAAAGGGCCCAGAACAUAAGUGAGAAAGAAAGACUCAGUAGACUUGGCAGGAGGUUCACCAUUCUCUCAACCUGGGUAAGAAGAACCCUAGGGAGAUGGGAGAAGAGAAGAGGAUGCUGCCACAUCUCAAUGGAUUAUCAACAACACAGUGGUGAAACAUAAUCUCCAAGGAUACCAUUUUCCAAAAAUGAGACCAAUUAAAAUGCAAAAUGGAUAGCCCUUGUACCCAGAUAUCAUUGUGGCAUAUUUAAGUCCCCCAGCUCAACAGGGAAGAGGAAGAGGAGAAAGUCUACACAGAAGGGAUCACAGCUAAGAGAUGGAAAGAUACUGAAUCCCAUGACAUCCUUUGAAAUGCUGAGUGAAGAUGGGCCUGAAGACAGAGCUACCUCUAUAGUUUUCAGAUACUUAGAUACCUACUCAUAGGGUGGAUACAAUACUACCACUUGCUUGCAGAACACAAAAAUUCAGAGGUGAAGAAUCUGCUGCAAUGUUAUUUAUCUUCUGUUCUGACACAAAUAACAUACUUGCUCCACAGACAGUGAAGUCUGCAAGUGUAUUACCACUCUGGAACUGGAGUACAGGUUUGCCAACCAGUGACCUGGAACCUACAUGCAGUAGCACCACAGCAUGCAUGAUACAGAGGUAUAAGAGAAAAAUAAAAAUAAAUCAGAGGACCCAAUUAAACCUGAAGCAAGCUUGUUUCUAGCUCAGCCUUUUCAGCCUCUAUGAAAAAGAAACGAAGAAAGACUUAAAGUUGAAGCAGAACCAAAAAGAUUGAGUAUAAAGGGGAUGUGCUUUCUAAAAGAGAGGUAAAUAUAGUCAGAAGGAAGAUAACACCAGAGUCUGGCUGGAUCAUUGGGUUAAGCAGAAGCCUAGGAAUGAGGGAAUAUUGCAUUGGGGUAUCUCCUCUGGACAGUCUUUCCAAAGCCCCCAGUCUGUUAGUGCUGUCACAGCACCCUACCAGUAGCUCCUCAUAACAUCCUCUCCUAGUUUGAAAGGAGAUGAAGCACUCUUCGAGCUCUCCUGGAGUUUAUACUCUGAUAAUGGAGAAGAGGAACAGUUCAAUAGCAGUAAAGCAACCAAGAAACAAGAAAUAUAAUGAGCAGCAGAGACAAUGAUGCUUUAGUGAAAAAGGAA